AGAGUUUGAUCCUGGCUCAGAUUGAACGCUGGCGGCAGGCCUAACACAUGCAAGUCGAACGGUAACAGGAAGAAGCUUGCUUCUUUGCUGACGAGUGGCGGACGGGUGAGUAAUGUCUGGGAAACUGCCUGAUGGAGGGGGAUAACUACUGGAAACGGUAGCUAAUACCGCAUAACGUCGCAAGACCAAAAAGGGGGACCUUCGGGCCUCUUGCCAUCGGAUGUGCCCAGAUGGGAUUAGCUAGUAGGUGGGGUAACGGCUCACCUAGGCGACGAUCCCUAGCUGGUCUGAGAGGAUGACCAGCCACACUGGAACUGAGACACGGUCCAGACUCCUACGGGAGGCAGCAGUGGGGAAUAUUGCACAAUGGGCGCAAGCCUGAUGCAGCCAUGCCGCGUGUAUGAAGAAGGCCUUCGGGUUGUAAAGUACUUUCAGCGGGGAGGAAGGGAGUAAAGUUAAUACCUUUGCUCAUUGACGUUACCCGCAGAAGAAGCACCAGCUAACUCCGUGCCAGCAGCCGCGGUAAUACGGAGGGUGCAAGCGUUAAUCGGAAUUACUGGGCGUAAAGCGCACGCAGGCGGUUUGUUAAGUCAGAUGUGAAAUCCCCGGGCUCAACCUGGGAACUGCAUCUGAUACUGGCAAGCUUGAGUCUCGUAGAGGGGGGUAGAAUUCCAGGUGUAGCGGUGAAAUGCGUAGA
rnacentral:rRNA from 1 species